rnacentral:rRNA from 1 species
UGCAAGUCGAACGGUAGUAUGGUGCUUGCACUAUAUGAGAGUGGCGGACGGGUGAGUAACACGUAGAUAAUCUACCCUUGUGUUGGGGAUAGCUUAUGGAAACAUAGGGUAAUACCGAAUACGGUCUUAGAAUCGAUAGGGUUUUAAGAAGAAAGGUGCUACGGCAUCGCACGAGGAGGAGUCUGCGGUAGAUUAGCUAGUUGGUAAGGUAAAGGCUUACCAAGGCGACGAUCUAUAGCCGGCCUGAGAGGGUGAACGGCCACACUGGGACUGAGAACGGCCCAGACUCCUACGGGAGGCAGCAGCUAAGAAUCUUCCGCAAUGGACGAAAGUCUGACGGAGCGACGCCGCGUGAACGAAAGGCAGAGAUGUUGUAAAGUUCUUUUAUCAGGGAGGAAUAAUGAGAGGAGGGAAUGCCUUUCAGAUGACGUUACUGAUGAAUAAGCCCCGGCAAAUUACGUGCUAGCAGCCGCGGUAACCGUGAGGGGCGAGCGUUGUUCGGAAUUAUUGGGCGUAAAGGGCGCGUAGCGGUUUUGC